rnacentral:rRNA from 1 species
GGUUAAGCGACUAAGCGUACACGGUGGAUGCCCUGGCAGUCAGAGGCGAUGAAGGACGUGCUAAUCUGCGAUAAGCGUCGGUAAGGUGAUAUGAACCGUUAUAACCGGCGAUUUCCGAAUGGGGAAACCCAGUGUGUUUCGACACACUAUCAUUAACUGAAUCCAUAGGUUAAUGAGGCGAACCGGGGGAACUGAAACAUCUAAGUACCCCGAGGAAAAGAAAUCAACCGAGAUUCCCCCAGUAGCGGCGAGCGAACGGGGAGCAGCCCAGAGCCUGAAUCAGUNNNNNNNNNNNNNNNNNNNNNNNNNNNNNNNNNNNNNNNNNNNNNNNNNNNNNNNNNNNNNNNNNNNNNNNNNNNNNNNNNNNNNNNNNNNNUGUGAGCUCGAUGAGUAGGGCGGGACACGUGGUAUCCUGUCUGAAUAUGGGGGGACCAUCCUCCAAGGCUAAAUACUCCUGACUGACCGAUAGUGAACCAGUACCGUGAGGGAAAGGCGAAAAGAACCCCGGCGAGGGGAGUGAAAAAGAACCUGAAACCGUGUACGUACAAGCAGUGGGAGCACGCUUAGGCGUGUGACUGCGUACCUUUUGUAUAAUGGGUCAGCGACUUAUAUUCUGUAGCAAGGUUAACCGAAUAGGGGAGCCGAAGGGAAACCGAGUCUUAACUGGGCGUUAAGUUGCAGGGUAUAGACCCGAAACCCGGUGAUCUAGCCAUGGGCAGGUUGAAGGUUGGGUAACACUAACUGGAGGACCGAACCGACUAAUGUUGAAAAAUUAGCGGAUGACUUGUGGCUGGGGGUGAAAGGCCAAUCAAACCGGGAGAUAGCUGGUUCUCCCCGAAAGCUAUUUAGGUAGCGCCUCGUGAAUUCAUCUCCGGGGGUAGAGCACUGUUUCGGCAAGGGGGUCAUCCCGACUUACCAACCCGAUGCAAACUGCGAAUACCGGAGAAUGUUAUCACGGGAGACACACGGCGGGUGCUAACGUCCGUCGUGAAGAGGGAAACAACCCAGACCGCCAGCUAAGGUCCCAAAGUCAUGGUUAAGUGGGAAACGAUGUGGGAAGGCCCAGACAGCCAGGAUGUUGGCUUAGAAGCAGCCAUCAUUUAAAGAAAGCGUAAUAGCUCACUGGUCGAGUCGGCCUGCGCGGAAGAUGUAACGGGGCUAAACCAUGCACCGAAGCUGCGGCAGCGACACUAUGUGUUGUUGGGUAGGGGAGCGUUCUGUAAGCCUGUGAAGGUGUGCUGUGAGGCAUGCUGGAGGUAUCAGAAGUGCGAAUGCUGACAUAAGUAACGAUAAAGCGGGUGAAAAGCCCGCUCGCCGGAAGACCAAGGGUUCCUGUCCAACGUUAAUCGGGGCAGGGUGAGUCGACCCCUAAGGCGAGGCCGAAAGGCGUAGUCGAUGGGAAACAGGUUAAUAUUCCUGUACUUGGUGUUACUGCGAAGGGGGGACGGAGAAGGCUAUGUUGGCCGGGCGACGGUUGUCCCGGUUUAAGCGUGUAGGCUGGUUUUCCAGGCAAAUCCGGAAAAUCAAGGCUGAGGCGUGAUGACGAGGCACUACGGUGCUGAAGCAACAAAUGCCCUGCUUCCAGGAAAAGCCUCUAAGCAUCAGGUAACAUCAAAUCGUACCCCAAACCGACACAGGUGGUCAGGUAGAGAAUACCAAGGCGCUUGAGAGAACUCGGGUGAAGGAACUAGGCAAAAUGGUGCCGUAACUUCGGGAGAAGGCACGCUGAUAUGUAGGUGAAGUCCCUCGCGGAUGGAGCUGAAAUCAGUCGAAGAUACCAGCUGGCUGCAACUGUUUAUUAAAAACACAGCACUGUGCAAACACGAAAGUGGACGUAUACGGUGUGACGCCUGCCCGGUGCCGGAAGGUUAAUUGAUGGGGUUAGCCGCAAGGCGAAGCUCUUGAUCGAAGCCCCGGUAAACGGCGGCCGUAACUAUAACGGUCCUAAGGUAGCGAAAUUCCUUGUCGGGUAAGUUCCGACCUGCACGAAUGGCGUAAUGAUGGCCAGGCUGUCUCCACCCGAGACUCAGUGAAAUUGAACUCGCUGUGAAGAUGCAGUGUACCCGCGGCAAGACGGAAAGACCCCGUGAACCUUUACUAUAGCUUGACACUGAACAUUGAGCCUUGAUGUGUAGGAUAGGUGGGAGGCUUAGAAGUGUGGACGCCAGUCUGCAUGGAGCCGACCUUGAAAUACCACCCUUUAAUGUUUGAUGUUCUAACGUUGACCCGUAAUCCGGGUUGCGGACAGUGUCUGGUGGGUAGUUUGACUGGGGCGGUCUCCUCCUAAAGAGUAACGGAGGAGCACGAAGGUUGGCUAAUCCUGGUCGGACAUCAGGAGGUUAGUGCAAUGGCAUAAGCCAGCUUGACUGCGAGCGUGACGGCGCGAGCAGGUGCGAAAGCAGGUCAUAGUGAUCCGGUGGUUCUGAAUGGAAGGGCCAUCGCUCAACGGAUAAAAGGUACUCCGGGGAUAACAGGCUGAUACCGCCCAAGAGUUCAUAUCGACGGCGGUGUUUGGCACCUCGAUGUCGGCUCAUCACAUCCUGGGGCUGAAGUAGGUCCCAAGGGUAUGGCUGUUCGCCAUUUAAAGUGGUACGCGAGCUGGGUUUAGAACGUCGUGAGACAGUUCGGUCCCUAUCUGCCGUGGGCGCUGGAGAACUGAGGGGGGCUGCUCCUAGUACGAGAGGACCGGAGUGGACGCAUCACUGGUGUUCGGGUUGUCAUGCCAAUGGCACUGCCCGGUAGCUAAAUGCGGAAGAGAUAAGUGCUGAAAGCAUCUAAGCACGAAACUUGCCCCGAGAUGAGUUCUCCCUGAC